UGCACUAAUUCGGUAGCAAAACACCGCAAGUUUAGCUACACAUUAUUCCUAACAUUUCAUCAUGUAGCAUGCGUAAAAAAAAAUGCUCAUUUGGUCGGUGAUUCUCGAGAACAUAUGCAUUACGUAGAAUCUUACAAAAGGGGAAGAUCGAGAGAAUACGAAGGAACCUCUCUAGCAGGUUGUAUACAUCGCACCUCGAGAAAAUGCGGAUAUACAUUACUCCACUAUUUUGGUCACAGUGAGACGGUGAGACCCCCUUCUUCAAGCUACUACUAGUAGAGAAAAAGAGAAGACGCACACAAUGCCAACAGGAACUACUUAACAAUCAACCAUCACCACCACACCAUGCAUGGAGAGGAAAGCUAACGGAAGGUACUUGAUGAACUGCGAGAAAAUGCCUGGCUUUCCCAUGUAUGCCGCCGAUCGACCGAGACCUAACACCACCGGUUAGCUGCUAGCUUCGUUCUCCAGCCUUUAGCUAGUCUCCGACCACCACCAAAACUCGAUCCCCUCCAUUCCUUGGCCUGUCCCCCGCCGGACCAUCCCCGCAGGCCGCGCAUCCUGCACGCCGAACAGGAAGGCGAACCCGAUCAUCGCCCGCCGCCCGGAACGGCCUCCCGGAGCCGGCGACGACGACGAGCGGUGGUAGCAGCCAUGCACGGGAGGCGCCUCCUGCACCUCGCGGGAGACGACGGCGCCGAGCGGCGCGCGCCCUCUUCCUCCUUGCCCAUGUCGUCGUCGCAGGGAGGGCGGAUUGCUAGCUAGCUGCAAAUGUGAAGGCGCGCUCGAGGCAGCAGCCAGUCGAGACGACCGAGAGUAUGGCUGGGGAGCGAGAGAGGGAGGGAGGGAGGGAGAAAGGUUUGAGAAUGGAGAUGCGCUAAUAGCUGUGCCCUCGGCCUCGGAAUAUUUCAGGGCCGGGGCUUUUAAAGACGGGGGCAGGAAAGCGGAAGAGGCGCCGGGUCAGGAGAUCUCCCUCCCGGCCCCGAGAUCAUCUGCGCCCCGGCACGGCCUGCACGGGCAUGUCCUGCGCGCGCGCGCGUCCG
rnacentral:lncRNA from 1 species